rfam:Aedes aegypti strain Liverpool supercont1.255 genomic scaffold, whole genome shotgun sequence.
GCUUCUUAGUUGGUAAAGUACUCGUCUAGCAUACAAGAACCGUGGGUUCAAAUCCCAUCUGAGCA